GCGACAAUCUUCUCCAUUACAAAUGUUGAUUAACAGAGACGAGCGACAAUCUUCUCUUCUCCAUUACAAGUGUUGAUUCAAAGGAUUUGUAAUUAAGACUUGUUCAUCAGAUUUGCAAGAGUUGAUUGAUUUGGCUUGGAUUUGCGUUACUUGGUCCUAUCAACACUGAUGACACCACAAGUGUUGCUGAUAUGGAUUAGAAGAUCAAGAUUCAAGACUACUGCAUCACUAGUUGUACUACUAGUUGUUCUUUUUUCAAAUUUUCUCAUUUUCAAGACUU